rnacentral:lncRNA from 1 species
GGACUGUGCUUUGUCGUGGUUCGGUGCCAACCGUCACGGGCAAAGUUACUUCUCCUUCCAUCGUAACAGCAUCCCCAGUGAAGCCUAUCAAGGGCGUAGAGACCUUCUUGAGUCGGUCGACCGACAGUCGCAUCCGGGAGAAGGUCGAGUAAAAUAGAACGUUCGUUGAACUUUCAUUAUCUACAAAAAAAAUUUUUACAUCAUAGUUCGCUAUUGUGGCCGAGACAACAACAGCGUCGUCGUGGGGAGUUUGGAUGCUCCGAACAUCAUCUUCUGUAAAAGUAAUUACGUCGUUCGGGUGCAGCUUCUUCGUCGGCUC